AUGCGGCCCGACCACGCCGGCGGCGCCGUGAAGACGGCCGACUGCCCCGUCUUGAGCUCGAACCCGCCCCCGCCGAAGCUGUCCCCCGGCGUCACCGCCGGCCACACCGUCGUCUCGCACUUGUUGAUGAUCGUGAACAUCCUGGCCGCCUCCGCACGCAUCGUCGCCCCUGCAUGCGUGGACGCAAACGUACGUCUCAAAAUUCCGGCACGAAGCAAGCUCGACAGUGAGCGCCGAUCGAUGGAACCAGACGUGAAAUGCGUACCUGACAGGAGGCAAAGGAGAGGCAGCGCGAGCACCAGGGCGGCUCUGGACGGGGAACCCAUGGCGACUCCAAGCGAAACGAGAAGAGGACUUCGAAGCUCGUACGGGUAUGGCCGUUUUGCGCGCGGGGGGGUAUAA
rnacentral:rRNA from 1 species